GAUGAAGAACGCAGUGAAAUGCGAUACGUAGUGUGAAUUGCAGAAUUCAGUGAAUCAUCGAAUCUUUGAACGCACAUUGCACCUCUCGGUAUUCCGGGAGGUAUGCCUGUUCGAGCGUCAUUUGUACCCUCAAGCUCUGCUUGGUGUUGGGUGUUUGUUCCGCCUCUGUGUGUGAACUCGCCUCAAAACCAUUGGCAGCCGGCGUACUUGUUUCGGAGCGCAGCACAUUUUGCGAUCCAGAUCAACGUACAGCGGCAUCCAAGAAGCCUUAUUUAACGCUCUUGACCUCGGAUCAGGUAGGGAUACCCGCUGAACUUAAGCAUAUCAAUAAGCGGAGGA
rnacentral:misc_RNA from 1 species